AGUGAACGCUGGCGGUAGGCCUAACACAUGCAAGUCGAACGGCAGCACAGUAAGAGCUUGCUCUUACGGGUGGCGAGUGGCGGACGGGUGAGUAAUACAUCGGAAUAUACUUUUUCGUGGGUGAUAACGUAGGGUAACUUACGCUAAUACCGCAUACGACCUACGGGUGAAAGCAGGGGAUCUUCGGACCUUGCGCGAUUGAAUGAGCCGACGUCGGAUUAGCUAGUUAGCGGGGUAAAGGCCCACCAAGGCGACGAUCCGUAUCUGGUAUGAGAGGAUGAUCCGCCACACUGGCACUGAGACACGGUCCAGACUCCUACGGGAGGAAGCAGUGGAGACUAUUAGACAAUGGGGGCGAGCCUGAUCCAGCAAUACCGGGUGAGUGAAGAAGGACCUAGGCUUGUAAAGCGCUUUUGUUGGGCAAGACAAGCAGCAGGUUAACACCCCGCUGUUAUGACGGUACCCAGAGAAUAAGCACCGGCUAACUUCGUG
rnacentral:rRNA from 1 species